AGAUAUUACAUACAUGCUUACACACAGUAUUUGUCUUCUCUCAUCCACCGCCACCGCCACCACCACCGCCUCAUCUUUUGCAUGGAAAAGGUGUUCUCUUUUGCCUUCUCUAUGUGAUCGGCGGAGCGCCUAAAGGAGAAAAGACAAGGGCGAGUGCCGGAUACCUGCACCGUUUCUCGGGGGCUGCCCCGGAUAUCUAGUUUCGUGUCUAGGGUUCUUUGUUAUUGUUCCAUUGGUAUUUUUUGCUAAUCAUAGGGAAACGGGGACGGGAAUUGGAGGGGCAUGGCUCCAGGGCGCAAGCGUGGAGCGAAAGGGGUUAAGACGAAGAGCGAGUUGAGUUUGGGCGAUCUCGUUUUGGCCAAGGUCAAGGGUUUUCCUGCUUGGCCUGCCAAGAUUAGCAGACCAGAAGACUGGGAGCGUGCGCCUGACCCUAAAAAGUACUUCGUCCAGUUCUUUGGGACAUCAGAGAUAGCUUUUGUUGCUCCUGCGGAUAUUCAGGCAUUCACCAUUGAAGCAAAAAAUAAAUUGUCCGCUAGAUGCCAGGGUAAGACAGUCAAAUAUUUUGCUCAAGCGGUGAAGGAAAUUUGUGAAGAAUUUGAAGAGUUGCAGCUCAGAAAUUUAAAUGGGGUGAGAGAUAAAAGUGCACUGUCUCUUGCGUCUGAGGCACAUUCUCUUGAUCCUGUGGUAGAUGAGGCCUCAGGGAUUAAUGGAAAUGAUGGAAGUGACAGGAAAGUAUCAAACUGUAAGUUGGAGAUCAAGGGGUCUACGGACGUGGGCGCUGCUUUAGAGCGGUGUUCACAAAGACAGGGUGAGGUGGAAUGUCAAGAUGUAAAGCCUUGCUUGUCAGAUGACGUGAAUCAUAGUUUGUCUCCACAUGUAUCUUCAGAAAAGAGGAGCAAGCCCUAUACAAAUACUAGUGAUCUAGUAAUGGAUUCAGUACCAUUAUCUAGCCCAUCGCAUGAUUCCCUUGUUAAUGAGGAUGAUUCUCAUGAUAUCAAAGUGGCGGGUAGGUCUUCUGAUGAUGACCAUAAUAAAUUGACAAAUGGCCUUAAAACUAAGCUGGCAAUUGGAUCUAAGAAGAAACCUGCGGGUGCAAUACGUAGGAAUAGUGGCUUAGCUGUUCCUCAUGAUCGUACUGGAGAAAUGAUUCAAAGAAAAUGUGUUUCUGGUGGCAGCAUGAAGGUCUCAUCUGCUGGUAAUUCAAGAUCAGGUUUAGAUAUUGGCAGUGAAAGGAAGGAAAAAAAGUUGCUGAAAGUUAAAAGGCGUUCUGAGACAGAAGAUAAUGGUCGAGAGGAUGCUGAAGUAAGUUUUGAGGAGCAUAAUAAAGCUAUCUCCAGGAAAAAGAUAAAGGCCCAGCAUGGCCGUGAAAAACAAAGGUUUCAGACAAAUGAAGCCUCACCUCCAGGCAAAAUGUCAAAAUGUGCUGAUACUGGAGAUGGCGCUAGCAUGAUAAGAGCACGAAUAAGCAAGAAAAGGGAUUCUACUAGCCCUGAUGUUCUUGAUGACAAAAUUACUGGUAUAGAGUCUAAAAGGCUAACAUCAGGUGGGAAGGCUGAGAAUAGCCGACUCCUCAGGCUGCAGAUGAGUACAAAUGACCCCAAGUUUUCCAGUGAUGAAGAUGAUCUACCCCCAAUAAAGCGCCGGCGCCGAGUAUCAGAAGCAAUGUCUAGUUCUGCUUCAAUUUCUGAAAAUAGAUUGGGAGGUUCCGCAUCUCGGCAAAGUGAUAUGGUACUUCCUAACAAAGUCCGGUCCCCAGUUAUGCAGUUACCAACAAAGAGGAGAGCUGUCCGCCUAUUUGAUGAUGAGGAUGAUGAAUCACCUAAAACCCCAAUUCAUGGAGGAUUUACAAAUAAGGUUUCUGUUAUUCCACAGGUGUCAGAUUCAAGAAAGAAGCCUGUAAUGCAUAGUGAAAGUUGUGUCUAUGAUCAAGGGGUCUCAAAAAAUUCAGGACCAGUUGAUGAUGGGAUAAAAGAACAGGUACAAUCUGGUCAUAUGUCCAAUAAAGUGUUAUCCCCAGCAACUCAGCAAGAUACAGAGAAGAGGACUAGAGAAUUAUCAGCUGCACAUGUAAUUCCUAGUCCACUGCAGGACACUGAGAAAUUGCCCUCUAUGGAGGCUAAACCAGUUCAAAUUUCUCCUAAAAGGUCCCCUUAUUCUAUUGGUGGUACCAGGCUGUCAGCAGAAGUGCACAGCAAGCACUCCAGCAAGGCACCUGCUAAUAUUUCUCAGAAGAAAACUCCAGCGGGAGACAGCAGAAGUGCUUCAGCUUCUGAUAGAUCAACUUCAUUUCUCGCUCAAUCACUAGGUGACCGAAGCAAGCCAGCUUCUUCUGGAGAUAAAAGUAAAGCUACUCCAAAGUCAGAUUUACGGAUCAAUGACUCUGUUGUUGUAGUCGGGCCUCCAAAUGAAAACCACACAUCGUUUGGUGAAAGGCUGGAUGGUGGUAAAGAUGGCAAAACAAGUUUUCUGGUUAAUUCGAAAAUUCCUGACUCGGUCAUGUCCAUGAAACAUCUUAUUGCUGCUGCUCAGGCAAAAAAAAGACAAGCACACUUGCAGAACUCUCAUGGAAAUCCUCUGCUUCUUUCAUUUCCUGAUGCUGACAUGUCUGCACGGAGCCCGAGCCCGCCCCCUGCUACACUAGCAUAUGAAUCAAGCAACACAGUCCAACCUGGUGUACAAGGAAUACAUUCAACUUCUCCAUGCGCUGAUGUUCACCAAUUUUCAUCUAUUAAUCAACAUGAGAAUGAAGAACUUGAGGAGAGGAGGGUGAGUUCAGGCAAUCUGGGUACUGGAAGUUCCCUAAGUGGGGGUACUGAGGCCGCUGUUGCUCGGGAUGCUUUUGAAGGGAUGAUAGAGACACUGUCAAGGACGAAAGAGAGUAUUGGUCGCGCAACUCGUCUUGCAAUUGAUUGUGCAAAGUAUGGUAUCGCCAAUGAGGUUGUGGAGCUUCUCAUCCAGAAGUUGGAAAAUGAGCCAAGUUUACAUCGCAGAGUGGACCUUUUUUUUCUAGUUGACUCGAUAACCCAGUGCUCACAUAGUCAGAGAGGAAUCGCAGGAGCCUCUUACAUUCCUAUUGUUCAAGCAGCAUUGCCCCGUCUCAUUGGAGCUGCUGCUCCUGCUGGUGCAGGUGCUCAAGAGAAUCGCCGUCAGUGUCAUAAGGUCUUGCGCCUGUGGCUUGAGAGGAAAAUCUUGCCAGAAUCUGUUCUUCGCCGUUACAUGGGUGAUAUAGGAGUUGUAAAUGAUGAUGCAUCUGUUGGGUUGUCGCUGAGACGUCCUUCUAGAGCUGAGCGGGCUAUUGAUGAUCCUAUCAGAGAAAUGGAGGGAAUGGUUGUUGACGAAUAUGGAAGUAAUGCUACGUUCCAGUUACCUGGAUUGCUGUCAGCUCACGUGUUUGAUGAAGAAGAGGAAUAUGAGGAUAGUUUUCCCACAAAGUUAUGCAAGGAAGAUAAUGAUACAUCACCUUCUGAACUUGCCCCUGCUACAAGCAGAGAUCCUGAGAAUCACAGUGUUACUCCAAGUGACAGACGACAUUGCAUUUUGGAGGAUGUUGAUGGUGAACUUGAAAUGGAAGAUGUUUCUGGGCACCAAAGGGACGAGAAACCACUGUUUACCAAUGGUUCUUUUGGGCUUGGUGUGCUUGAGCCAAAUUCAGAUGGGAUACUUGAAUCAGCCCCUAAUAACAUGUCUGCUGAGUGGAUGCCUUCGCCGGAGGGCUCUCCACCAUUGCCACCUGGAUCUCCGCCUGUAACUCCGCCUCUACCCACUUCGCCACCUCCAUUGUCACCACCACUCCCACCACCACCCCCACCUCCUUCACCACCACCACCACCGCCACCACCACCGCCACCGCCCCCAUCACAGCAUCAUCUAUUUUCUCGACCAGCUGUCUGUCCUCCUCCACCGCCUACUGGUCCUCCUCCGCAACCUGUUGGACCUCCGCCACAACCUGCUGCUCCACCACCCACUGGACCUAAUCCCCAAUCUGUUGGUCCUCCACCACCACCUGUUGGACCUAACCCACCACCUUUUGGUUCUACGCCGCCAGUUGGGCCUCCUCCACCAUUGCCUUCCCAGCAAUCAUUUCCGGCUCAGCCUCCAUUGAUGUCUCAACAUAUGCAUCCACUUCCAUCUGCGAUAUCACAUUCCCCACGAUCAACUUAUCCUCUACCUUCUUUACAGCAUGAGAUCGGCGCGACGGCCUCUGGAAAUCAGUGUUCCCAUGUGGUUUCCAAUGCUCGUGGGUCCCAUAUAGAUGCAUCUGCCAGAAAUGAAGUGUUGACGCAGCAAUCAUCUUGCUUUCCCCCUUCUGGGGUUGGUAUUGCACGAGAACAUGUUGGCUAUAAUUCAUCAAGGCAUGGAGACUAUAGACAAGGUGAGGCAUAUAUGAAUCCACAAGCUACACAACACAGGCCACCAUUUGUACCUGGUCAUGCACCUUUUGCACAAAGGCCUGUGCAUCCCGAACACCUACCUCAACGUGCACCUAGUCAUUUCUCCUAUCCAAACUCCGUCCAGCAACAUCAAUAUCCCCCUUACUCAUUGCAAAACUUUUCGGAUGGUCCCCGGCGAUAUGCUGCUAAUGAACAAACGCAAAUGCAAGUAAAUGAGUUUAAUGCGGAUUGUCCGCGUGGUGGGUGGAUACCAGGAGGGAGAUCAUGUUCCGGUCCACCUUAUUCGAAUGAAGCUGACCCUACAACAACUGGAACUUUAGUGAGUCAACGUAUUUUCAUGAGUAUUUAUAGUGUUAUCUAUUUGAAGGUUAUUUUGGACCUCCUCGUGAAAGACCUCCUGCAAGUGUUGUUAAUUUGCAGCCCUCUGCCCCAAAUAAUCUGCCUUCUGCUGCUCAAAUCCCAGUUCAUGGUGUUCCUAUGAUUCCCUGCAGACCAGACAUGCCUUCUGGCAAUUGGAGACCAGCAUAGAGUUAUUAUGAGAGGUCCAUGGUGUGCGAGGAGUUGGGUGCAAAUAGUGCUCCAAGAGAAAUAUUGUUUUAGAUCAGAAUGGAAUUAAAUUGGUGGGAAGUUCUGCAGACGCUUUGCAGGAUUGUAUAUUAGAAAUUGCCCUGACAAAUGCCUUCCUGGGCGCAUACUAAGUGUAAGCCCUCUUUGCUUAUUAUACCAAUGCUUGUAAUUAUACCGUAUAUCUCAUAAACCAGAAUUAGUGAGGACUACAGUUUAAAGCAUUGCUAAUACUAGCUUUCUUUUUGACUACUGCAUUUUUAAUUCUUCAAGCCGCCUCGAUAGUACAUGUUUACCUUUUUAGUGUACUCGUGCUGCCAAGUAAAGAGCAUGUUGAAACAUUUACUAUGUAAAUUUUGUCCCUGUUAGUUAUAACAUACAGUUACGAGAUAUGUUAUAAAUUUUGCUUUACUGAGAUUA